rnacentral:rRNA from 1 species
CAAGAGCGUAUGUAAAAGUUGUUGCAGUUAAAAAGCUCGUAGUUGAACCUUGGGUUUGGUUGGCCGGUCCGCUUUUUUGCGAGUACUGGAUUCAACCGAGCCUUUCCUUCUGGCUAACCAGUCGUUUCGGCGGCUGGCGAACCAGGAUUUUUACUUUGAGAAAAUUAGAGUGUUCAAAGCAGGCAUUAGCUUGAAUAUAUUAGCCUGGAAUAAUAGAAUAGGACGUUAUGGUUCUAUUUUGUUGGUUUCUAGGACCAUCGUAAUGAUUAAUAGGGACGGUCGGGGGCAUCAGUAUUCAGUUGUCAGAGGUGAAAUUCUUGGAUUUACUGAAGACUAACUACUGCGAAAGCAUUUGCCAAGGACGUUUUCAUUAA